GAUGAACGCUGGCGGCGUGCCUAAUACAUGCAAGUCGAGCGAACGGAUAAGGAGCUUGCUCCUUUGACGUUAGCGGCGGACGGGUGAGUAACACGUGGAUAACCUACCUAUAAGACUGGGAUAACUUCGGGAAACCGGAGCUAAUACCGGAUAACAUAUUGAACCGCAUGGUUCAAUAGUGAAAGGCGGCUUUGCUGUCACUUAUAGAUGGAUCCGCGCCGUAUUAGCUAGUUGGUACGGUAACGGCUUACCAAGGCAACGAUACGUAGCCGACCUGAGAGGGUGAUCGGCCACACUGGAACUGAGACACGGUCCAGACUCCUACGGGAGGCAGCAGUAGGGAAUAUUCCGCAAUGGGCGAAAGCCUGACGGAGCAACGCCGCGUGAGUGAUGAAGGCCUUCGGAUCGUAAAACUCUGUUAUCAGGGAAGAACAAAUGUGUAAGUAACUGUGCACAUCUUGACGGUACCUGCUCAGAAAGCCACGGCUAACUACGUG
rnacentral:rRNA from 1 species